rnacentral:rRNA from 1 species
ACAUGCUUACAACAUAGCAUUAAUGCACUAGAUCCCAUUAGAACUCCACAGUUAAGCACGCUCGGGCUAGAGUAGUAUUGGGAUGGGUGACCGCCUGGGAAUUCCUAGUGUUUUACAUGCC